GACGAACGCUGGCGGCGUGCUUAACACAUGCAAGUCGAACGGAAAGGCCCCUUUGGGGGUACUCGAGUGGCGAACGGGUGAGUAACACGUGAGUAACCUGCCCUUGACUUCGGGAUAACUUCAGGAAACUGGGGCUAAUACCGGAUAGGAAUCCUUGCUGCAUGGUGGGGGUUGGAAAGCUUCGGCGGUUUUGGAUGGACUCGCGGCUUAUCAGCUUGUUGGUAGGGUAGUGGCUUACCAAGGCUUUGACGGGUAGCCGGCCUGAGAGGGCGACCGGCCACAUUGGGACUGAGAUACGGCCCAGACUCCUACGGGAGGCAGCAGUGGGGAAUAUUGCACAAUGGGCGGAAGCCUGAUGCAGCAACGCCGCGGGCGGGAUGACGGCCUUCGGGUUGUAAACCGCUUUCAGCAGGGGCGAAGCUUGUGGUGACGGUACCUGCAGAAGAAGCACCGGCUAACUACGUG
rnacentral:rRNA from 1 species